CGCAAUGGGCGAAAGUCUGACGGAGCGACGCCGGAGAUGAUGAAGCUUUUCGGAGUGUAAAGAUCUUUUAUGAGGGAAGAAGUUUAUUGACGGUACCUCAUGAAUAAGGGGCUCCUAAUCUCGUGCCAGCAGGAGCGGUAAUACGAGAGCCCCGAGCGUUAUCCGGAAUUAUUGGGCGUAAAGGGUGCGUAGGCGGUUUUGUUAGUCGUUUGUUAAAACCUGGGGCUUAACCCCAGAGGUGCGAACGAAACGGCAAAACUAGAGAGUGUGAGGGGUAUAGGGAACUCAUGGUGUAGGGGUGAAAUCCGUUGAUAUCAUGGGGAACACCAAAAGCGAAAGCACUAUACUGGCACACAUCUGACGCUCAAGCACGAAAGCGU
rnacentral:rRNA from 1 species